CAAUAAAUAUAUGGUUGCAACUUUCAACAGAGGUAUCAGUAAUUAACUGAAGAAAACAAAUUACUUCACCAGUGUGGAGAACAAAUAAUGAUGCAGGAUGCUGGCACAAGGAUGACACAGUACACACCAUUAUGAGAUCUAAUCCUAUCCCAAGCAACCUUCUGUGUAUAUACAAAAAAAAAAAAAACUGAGAACAGAGAGCCCAUUUGAUAUGGUUGGCAUUAGUUGACAGAAGCCAAAACUGUGUUGGAUCCUAU
rnacentral:lncRNA from 1 species